rnacentral:rRNA from 1 species
ACUCCUACGGGAGGCAGCAGUGGGGAAUAUUGCGCAAUGGACGAAAGUCUGACGCAGCGACGCCGCGUGGAGGAUGAAGGUUUUCGGAUCGUAAACUCCUGUCAAGAGGGAAGAAACCUAUCAUGAAUAAUACUUAUGGUAAUUGACGGUACCUCUAGAGGAAGCACCGGCUAAUUUCAGUGCCAGCAGCCGCGGUAAUACUGAAGGUGCAAGCGUUAAUCGGAAUCACUGGGCGUAAAGCGCUCGUAGGUGGCUUUGUAAGUCAGGUGUGAAAGCCCACGGCUCAACCGUGGAAUUGCACUUGAUACUGCAUCGCUAGAGUAUAGGAGAGGGAAGUGGAAUUUCUGGUGUAGGAGUGAAAUCCGUAGAGAUCAGAAGGAACACCCGUGGCGAAAGGCGACUUCCUGGACUAUUACUGACACUGAGGAGCG